UGUCUAUAGAUUAGUUCGUUAGUCGAAGA
rnacentral:sRNA from 1 species